GUAUUGUUGUUUAAUUAUGGACGGUGCUAUGAGGGAGUUAUUACCUGUGCAACUUGUAAGUGAAGACCUUUAGGCUGGGGGCACACUGGUCAAAAUUAGAGUAGAUUGCUUUGUUAACUGCAAGAGCAGCCAGGACCUGUAGAGAGAAAUCUUAAGUGAUUGUCCUACAGAUUGAGUAUUGUGUACACAGAUGGUCACAACUCAACA
rnacentral:lncRNA from 1 species